rnacentral:rRNA from 1 species
UGAUCAUGGCUCAGAUUGAACGCUGGCGGCAGGCCUAACACAUGCAAGUCGAGCGGUAACAGAAAGUAGCUUGCUACUUUGCUGACGAGCGGCGGACGGGUGAGUAAUGCUUGGGAACAUGCCUUGAGGUGGGGGACAACAGUUGGAAACGACUGCUAAUACCGCAUAAUGUCUACGGACCAAAGGGGGCUUCGGCUCUCGCCUUUAGAUUGGCCCAAGUGGGAUUAGCUAGUUGGUGAGGUAAUGGCUCACCAAGGCAACGAUCCCUAGCUGGUUUGAGAGGAUGAUCAGCCACACUGGAACUGAGACACGGUCCAGACUCCUACGGGAGGCAGCAGUGGGGAAUAUUGCACAAUGGGCGCAAGCCUGAUGCAGCCAUGCCGCGUGUGUGAAGAAGGCCUUCGGGUUGUAAAGCACUUUCAGUCAGGAGGAAAGGGUGUGAGUUAAUACCUCACAUCUGUGACGUUACUGACAGAAGAAGCACCGGCUAACUCCGUGCCAGCAGCCGCGGUAAUACGGAGGGUGCGAGCGUUAAUCGGAAUUACUGGGCGUAAAGCGUACGCAGGCGGUUUGUUAAGCGAGAUGUGAAAGCCCCGGGCUCAACCUGGGAACUGCAUUUCGAACUGGCAAACUAGAGUGUGAUAGAGGGUGGUAGAAUUUCAGGUGUAGCGGUGAAAUGCGUAGAGAUCUGAAGGAAUACCGAUGGCGAAGGCAGCCACCUGGGUCAACACUGACGCUCAUGUACGAAAGCGUGGGGAGCAAACGGGAUUAGAUACCCCGGUAGUCCACGCCGUAAACGAUGUCUACUAGAAGCUCGGAACCUCGGUUCUGUUUUUCAAAGCUAACGCAUUAAGUAGACCGCCUGGGGAGUACGGCCGCAAGGUUAAAACUCAAAUGAAUUGACG